CCCAAAAAAACGACAGUCUCAGUUCGGAUUGAAGGCUGAAAUUCGCCUUCAUGAAGCCGGAAUUGCUAGUAAUGGCAGGUCAGCAUACUGCCGUGAAUACGUUCCCGGGCCUUGUACACACCGCCCGUCACACCAUGAGAGUUGGGAAUACCCGAAGCCUGUGAGCUAACUUUUAGAGGCAGCAGUCGAAGGUAGAAUCAAUGAUUGGGGUGAAGUCGUAACAAGGUAUC
rnacentral:rRNA from 1 species